AGCGAACGCUGGCGGCAGGCCUAACACAUGCAAGUCGAGCGCUCGUAGCAAUACGAGAGCGGCAGACGGGAGAGUAACACGUGGGAACGUGCCCUUCGGUUCGGAAUAACUCAGGGAAACUUGAGCUAAUACCGGAUACGCCUUACGGGAAGAUUAUUGCGAAGGAGCGCCCGCGUCUGAUUAGCUAGUUGGUGAGGUAACGGCUCACCAAGGCGACGAUCAGUAGCNGGUCUGAGAGGAUGACCAGCCUCACUGGGACUGAGACACGGCCCAGACUCCUACGGGAGGCAGCAGUGGGGAAUAUUGGACAAUGGGCGCAAGCCUGGUCCAGCCAUGCCGCGUGGAUGAUGAAGGCCC
rnacentral:rRNA from 1 species